rnacentral:rRNA from 1 species
AUACGGAGGAUGCGAGCGUUAUCCGGAUUUAUUGGGUUUAAAGGGAGCGUAGGCGGACGCUUAAGUCAGUUGUGAAAGUUUGCGGCUCAACCGUAAAAUUGCAGUUGAUACUGGGUGUCUUGAGUACAGUAGAGGCAGGCGGGAUUUCGGGUGUAGGGGUGAAAUGCUUAGAUAUUACGAAGAACUCCGAUUGCGAAGGCAGCCUGCUGGACUGUAACUGACGCUGAUGCUCGAAAGUGUGGGUAUCAAACAGGAUUAGAUACCCUGGUGGUCCACACAGUAAACGAUGAAUACUCGCUGUUUGCGAUAUACAGUAAGCGGCCAAGCGAAAGCGUUAAGUAUUCCACCUGGGGAGUACGCCGGCAACGGUGAAACUCAAAUGAAUUGACGGGG